rfam:Saprolegnia diclina VS20 unplaced genomic scaffold supercont1.15, whole genome shotgun sequence.
CUUCUUUUAGUCUAGCGGUUUAGACACUGGUUUACCACCAGGUAGAUCCGGGUUCAAGUCCCGGAGAGAGCA